UGUUGCAGUUUCGGCGCAUGACCAUACGGUGCAUCAUCAAAAAGUUCACUACGAAGCCGGUGCCUAUGGCUGCCCCUUGCUUGGCGUAGUCUGCAAGCAUCACUGCGAGUCAAUUGGGCAUGGUAGCGGCUACUGUGGUGGACCUCAUUUAGGAAGAUGCAUUUGUCCAAUUUGGUAACACUGAAGAAGAAUAUACCAGUAAUAAAUCAAACAUGCCAUA